UGGCAGGGCUGGGAUCGGGUCUGCCGACCCGCGGGACCCACCGGGGUAUCCGCCUUUCAGUGUGCAGCUCCGCCCCCAGGGUCUCGAGGCGUUGGCGGUGAUGACAGACCGGCUCAGAUGAGUUGAGGGUGCUCCCUUGGCCCUCGCUAACUCAGACCCCGAUAUCUGGGAUGUUGGUAUCCUGAGACUUUUCCUCCUCGCCGCAUUUGCCUCUCUGCCCUUAGUUACUUGGGCUUUGGGAGUCCCAUCUGGCCCAUGAUUCAGCGGUUAUGCAGGAGAGUUCCCAUUUCUGUCAGUCAGUAGGAUGUGAUAUAGAAAGUGUUAAAGACACAGAGACCAGCAAAUCCUUGGCAGUGAGGAUGAGCUGGGAAUGUUGAGAACCACAGGCCCCACUUAGGUCUUUUGAGAACAGUGAGCAGGGGCAGGAGUCAGGCGGAGAAUGGACCUAGACCUCUGUUCUGAGGAUGCUGGGCGCCAUGGGAGAUUUAGAGCAGAGGAGGAAGAUGAUCUGACUCAGGUGUUGGGAGGCUCUCUCUGGCUAGAGGGGAGAACAGACUGUACUUGAAGAAGGCCCAUGAAGAGGCUGCUGGUGACAGGUGGCUGCACCAGGGUGGUGGCAAUGGAGAUGGCAGAUAUGCUUGUACUCUGGAUCUGUUAUUUGAGUAGGACCAGCCCAACUGCCUGAUGUGAGGCAGUGAAAGACACUGAGCUAUCAAGGGUUAGCCUAGGUGUUUGGACUCAGUGGUUUGAUGGGUGGAAGAUAUAUCAACAGAUGUGGAAGUUGAUGUCUAGAGCAGUUUCCAGGGACAAGAUCUGGAGUGUGGUUUUGGAGAUUUUAAGCAUGAUAUAUCCAAGUACUCUUGAAUGGGGGUGUUGUGUAGGCUCCCGGAUACACAACUCUGGAAUUCUGCAGGAUCAGGGUUGGGAACAUCCAAAGGGUGGGGCUAGAGAGUGGAACUAGGAACAAUGUGGGAUUGGUGAAGGAAUGUAAAGAAUACCCCUACAGGUUGGAGAAGGGGAGGCUGAGAACCAAGGACCAGAUGUCCUGACUAUGCAGUUGGAAGGUGAUGGUAGGUGUCAUUAAGACACUGUGAAGGCUGGGCCAAUGUUAGCAGGGGAAUAAAGAGGGGGAGUGUCAGGGGGCCAAGGCACCUGAGAGGCAAGUGGACCUGGGGUGGAGCCUGUGGCAUGGCAGUGAUGGAUGUAGGUGGUAAGUGGGCCCAGGAUUGGGCUGAUUCUGUGGGAUCUCUAGGCUUUUAUGUCUGCCCCCUUUGGGGCCUGAGGCUUUUCAUUCAGGGUUGCAGAGGCACUCAGUGGCAGAUGGGGGUCACCUGGGAGACAGGUAGGGUCCCAGGCCCGGUGGGCUGGACUCUGAAUGUGCCUUAGGAGGGGAGAGGAGGGUCACGGCAAGUGAAAGGACAGCUUGUGCAAAGGCAGAGUUGAAGGAAUUCCGGGAUCUCAGAGAUCCAGUUGUACUUCUGAGUGGCUGAAUAUUGAAGCUAGGAGCAGGGCCUGGUGGGGAGUCUUUAAUGCAGGGGUGGGGGAUUCCUGUGGCAGUGGACCAUUGGAGGUGCAGGCGCAGACAGGCCUGAGCCAGGAUAGGAUUGUGGUUUCUAUGCCACAGACUCUCAGGACGCCACAUGGAGAGUGGCCUGUGGGGAGGCCAGGGAGUUGCCAAUGGGGUGAGCUGGUUAGGUUGUGCUAGGGGUGUGGAAUUAUGAGCAUGCCAAGUAUGUUAUGUGCCUGAUAGGGGGGAGGGCAGACUGAAGGGCCUUGGGAGCAAGUAUCUCGACCUAAGGGAGAAUGGCGUGUGUAGGUUUGGUUGCAUCUGAGAGGUGUGAUCUGAAGGACACAGAAGGAAUGGGCUGGGAGGAGAAAGGGUGAGGCCUGUGUGGCUGGACCAGAACAUAGAUGGCAUCCAUCCUGUUGUUGCUGUGGGCUGGAUACAGAGUCCAAUAGUAACAUGAGGAGAACAGCAUCAAUGGUGUUGUGACCUUGGUAUUCUCUCUGAGGUAGAGUUCUGGGGAAAGGGGGAGCAUCAGGAUGUGUUUGGGGGUGGUGGUUUGGGCCUCUGGGGAAAUAGGAUGUCAGUGAGAGAUAUAUUACCCUUCCAUGUCAAAGGCCUGGCUGGGUGUGUCCCUUUGUCCAUAUUUUGGUUGUUUUUUCUGCCUAGUCAUCAACCCCUAGGAUCAGUUGAACCCACCACUGCAGGGUAUGGUGACAUGUGAGGAUGUGGCCCUGUAUUUCUCCCAGAAGAAGUGAAGGCUCCUUAAUGUAACCCCAUGUAAUCACCAUGAUGUGAUGUUGAACUUUGAGCUCGUCGGCUCACCGGACUCGGCACCACAUCCUCUAGGAUGAGUGCAUCUGAAUCCACUGCACGACAUCCAGGAGCCGGGUCCUUCUCCUGCUAGCCUCGCAUCUUGAUGUGCCCAGGACCUUUCUCCCUGACAUCCUCAACAACGCGCUCACCCUCCUCCACAAGGCCCCCUACCUGACUAUGGCCUUACACGGGACAGGCUACCAGCCUACUGUCCCCUGAGCAUGUUCCAGACCCAUCCCCGGUACCCCAGACCUGCCUGAGUCCAGUGGCCCAGGCACCACCAGACUCAACACUUGUACAGUCCAACUGCGGAUCUUCUCCAACACUUCCUCCUCCUGCCAAGGCUCCCUGGCCGCUGGUCCCCAGCUCCUCACUGAACUCAGGUUGGAGAGGCUUUUCUGAGCUCCGUCUCCUGCUCCGUGAAGCAGACACCGCGUCCGGGGCGAUGACUCCUGGGCGGCGGCGGGCGCGGAUGGGCUUUGACGGAGGUGAGACCCGAAGGUGACGCCUCUUUACCGCCAAAAACACUUGCCGAGCUUAAGCCGCGUACAGAGCGCGCAGCCUCCUCUCAGGCCCUCUAUAUUCCAGUUUCCACCGUUCGGAGGAGCCUCCCAAAUUCCCGCCUCCGCGCAGUUACGCAGUCCGUCUGCCGGACGUGGUUCCGAAGGAGGGCGACGCCGGAAGUCCCACCUCCACGGAACGCGGAAAAGCUCCUCUCUGGGGCCGUCAUUGGCUACGUCGGUACGAACGGACAGCAGCGCCCUCCCCUGUCGCCUUGGCAACGAGCAAGCGGCACCGCGAGGGGAGCUGGGAAAUGAGGCCCUAAAGUGACGCUGGAGCUAAGUUAAUGAAGGCGUCUGGAGGCGGCCGGACUUCCGGCGUUGCUCUAGCUGUGCUCUUCUUGCAGCUGUGGGUGGAGACCAGCACUUGGAGAGCCGCGUUGCCGAGAAGAGGGUCGGGGACCCUCGUCGCGCCUGUGCGCGCGCCGUGACCCUCGGAAAUAACCCCAUUUUUCUAAGACUCGGUGUCGCCCACUGCGGAACGGGUGCCGGAGGGUCAGGGCCUCCCGCGGGCGGUUCCCUGGUCUUUGAGCACAUUUUACACGGAGGAGACCUAGCUUCGAAGGUUCCGCGGUCGGCCGGAGGUUCCUGCGCCCAAGGCGGGGUGGUGGUAGGUACGGAUUUGAGCUGAGUAGACCGGAAUUCGGCGCCUAUCACAGCCAAGCUCCGUCCACAGCUUCCGAUGGCCGAGGAGGCGCUGGGGCUGGUGACCUUUGAGGAUGUGGCUGUGUAUUUCUCCCGGGAGGAGUGGGGGCUCCUUAAUCUGACUCAGAGGAGCCUUUACCGUGAUGUGAUGCUAGAGAACUUUGCACUUAUUGGCUCGCUGGGAUUUGCAUCUUCAAGGUGCCAUGUGGUUGCCCAGCUGGAGAGUGAAGAAGAGUUCUGGGUUCCCAGCAUGGUGGACCUGACUCUGGUCAGCAGAGUUGAGGCCAGGAGGGGUCCUGGUCUUGGUUGUCCAUGUAGCCUGAAGGAUGGGGAAACCCCUACAGAGCAGAUGAAGAGUUACAGAGUCUACCUGUCAGAGAAGCCCUCUCUGCUUGGGGAGUCUGGGAAGGACGUGCCUACCACCUUAGGUCUUCUCCGGCACCAGGCCACCCACAGCAAGGGGAAGCCACACAGGAGCACCGAGCAUGGAGAAGCCUUCCAACCCAGCUCCGGUAGCCAACAGCAGCAGGCAGUCCACGCCACACAGAAGGCCUUCAAGUGCAGUGACUGUGGGAAAGCCUUCCCAAAGGCCUUUGCGCUCCUUGACCACCUGGUAACCCACCCCAAAGAGAGACCCUUUAGAUGUCCAAAAGGUGGAAAUGCCUCCAAGGAGAAAUCCACCCAUGUUAAUUACCAAAAAAUUCACACUGGAGAAACAUCCCAUGUGUGUACUGAGUGCGGAAAGGCCUUUAGUUAUCCCUCUAAACUGAAGAAGCACCAGAAGGUUCACACGGGCAUAAAACCUUUCAAGUGUGAUGAAUGUGGCAAAACCUUCAACCGCAAAGAUGCACUCGUUCUGCACCAGAGAAUUCACACUGGAGAAAGGCCUUAUGAGUGCAGCGAAUGUGGGAAAGCCUUCAGCGUUCUGUCUACUCUCAUUCGGCACCGGAAAGUUCACAUUGGAGAAAGGCCCUAUGAGUGCAGGGAAUGUGGGAAGUUCUUUAAAUACAACCAUAGCUUCAUUCUUCAUCAGAGAGUUCACACUGGAGAAAGGCCUUAUGAGUGCAAGCAAUGUGGGAAAACUUACGUGACCCGCUCUGGCCUGUAUCAGCACUGGAAAGUUCACACUGGAGAACGGCCCUAUGAGUGCAGCCUGUGUGGGAAGACCUUCACCACCAGGUCCUACCGCAAUCGGCACCAGCAGUUCCACACUGAAGAGAGGUCCUAUGAGUGUACAGAAUGUGGGAAAGCCUUCAAACAUAGUUCUACCCUUCUUCAGCACAAGAAAGUCCACACUGGAGAAAGGCCAUAAGAAGGCAGGGGAUGUUGGAAAGCCUGUAGCUAGGGCUGGCACCUUGUUCAACAUGAAAAACCUCACUCAGAAAGAAGAGGAGAGUAGCCAUUUGAAAGCUAAACCUGGCACACCCCAACACAUGCGCUGGGGUGGCAGGUGUGUGGGAAGUUUUCAGGAGCUAGGUUGCACUUGGACCUGCCUAGGCUGUUGGCAGUGUUAAGUUGCUGCCAGUUUCCAUGAUACAAACCAUCUCAGCUCCACCACCUGGCAGGUGCCCAAGGUGUGCAUCAGGCACACCUUUCAGAGCAAUGUGCUCUGGAACAGCAAGACCUCCAUGGUCGCCACUCUUUAAAGGAGAGAGUCAUGAGUGGUGGAGUCCGUGAUGGGCCUCAUUUGCUCCCUCCAACUGGUUCAGGUAUGCCUGUGACCAAGCUCUGGUCAAGAGUAGCUGAGCUGUGUCUACUGGGGGCUUCCAGAGAAGGUUAAUCCUUUCCAUGGACAUCGUUUACACUACGCAUGGUACCCGUCAUGGAUUUAUCCGACCCUGGAACUGUCUCUCACUUCCCUGGAAUGUAUGUUUGCACUGGGCGGACCUGGAGUCUGAGACCUAGAAGAGCAACUGGAUUUGCUGUAGUGUAAUGUCACCCUUCAUGGAUGCCACCACAUUCAGAGGUUCAUCCCCAUCUCUUCUCCAUGCAGCAAAGUAAAAUUCCCAAAGGAAUUUCACAUCAGGUCCACCAGGACAUCCAGCUCUGUGAGUAACCCCCCCCCCCCCCACAUCCCCCCCACCACCUGACUCUAUUUUAAAAAGAGACCUUUUAGCCAGUCUUGUUUGCUCCAUUUUGAAAUCUCCUUUUACAAAGAUGUAGUUAAUGUUCUAACAGAGGUCCAAAUAGUGGAGAGGUUUCUCCCCUUCAAGUUGGGGAAGAAAGUUGCUGGAUUCAAGCUGCUAUAGUGAGAAAAGUGAUACAUAAAAGGUUAAGACACCAUGGGUACCCCAAUAUAUCACUAUGUUCUUUAAUUCUUCUCAUAACACUUACUAGAAAUUGUCUUUCAGCAAGAUCAUUUGUUUUUUAAAAAUUUUAAAAAUGUUUUUAUUUAUUUUUGAGACAGAGACAUAGCAUUAGCAGGGGAGGGGCAGAGAAAGAGGGAGACACAGAAUCCGAAAUAGGCUCCAGGCCUGUGCUGUCCGCACAGAACCUGACGCAGGGCUCAAACUCAUGGACCGUGAGAUCAUGACCUGAGCGGAAGCCAGACGCUUAACCGACUGAGCCACCCAGGCGCCCUUCAGCAAAAUCAUUUAUAUUUAGAAUCCUGGCAGCCAAAUAUCUGUGAAGGCUGUUUUCUAUAUUUUGUGCUAAAAAUUGAGUCUUUUUCUUGUAAAUUGAUAAAUCAUUGAAACAUUUUACUUUUAUAAUAAAAUUAAGAAGGUGGCAUUUUCAUUUUGUCAAUUUUAACUUUUUCUUUUAUCUGCAAUUUGGUAGAUAAAAGUGCUUUCAAAUUAUUAAAUGUGGAGGAUGCCAGACAAAAGUAAUUUGUGCUAUUAUCCUUCCCUUCAUAAAAUGAAGGAGCAGCCAUCCCUAGGUGGCUCAGUCGGUUAAGUGUCUGACUUCAGCUCAGGUCAUGAUCUCACAGCCUGUAAGUUCGAGCCCCGCAUUGGGCCUGGAGCCUGCUUCGGAUUCUGUGUCUCCCUCUCUCUCUGCCCCUUCUCUGCUCACACUCUGUCUCUGAAAAAUAAAUAAUAAACAUUAAUAUUCUUGGUUUGUUUUGUUUUGUUUUUGAGAGAGAGCACGAGAGUGAGAGCAGGGGAGGGGCAGAGAGAGGGGGGAGAGAAGGAUCCAAAGCGAGCUCUGCACUGACAGCAGAGAUCCCGAUGUGGGGCUCAAACUCAUGAACCCUGAUAUCAUGACCUGAACCAAAGUCAGAUGCUCAACCGACUCAGCUACCCAGGCACGCCUUGUGUUAAUAUUCACCACUGUCACCAACUGGUUUUAUUCUAUAAAACUGACACUGUGUCCUGUGACCCUGAAGACUUAGCACUUCAUAUACUGGUCAUAAAGAAUCACUUUCCUUCCAUAGAUGUUAUGGACUGAAUGUCUGCAUGUCCCCGAACUUCAUAUGUUUAAGCCCUAAUCCCAGUGAUGGUAUCUAGACAAGAGGGCUCUGGGACAUAAUUAGGUUUAUUUAUUUAUUUCUUAAUGUUUUUAAAUUUAUUUUAAUUAAAAAUUUUUUUAAUGUUUACAUAUAUGUGAAGGAGAGACAGAGAUGAAGUGUGAGUGAGGAGGGGCAGAGAAAGAGGGAGACACAGAAUCCAAAGCAGGCUCCAGGCUCCAAGCUGUCAGCACAGAGCCCGAUGCAGGGCUUGAACCCACAAACCGCGAGAUCAUGACCUGAGCUAAAGUUGGAUGCCCAACUGACUGAGCCACCCAGGCACCCCCAUAAUGUUUAUUUAUUUUUGAGAGAGAGAGAGAAACAGAGAGACAGAGCUCGAGUGGGGGAGGGGCAGAGAGAGAGAAGGAGACACAGAAUCCAAAGCAGGCUUCAGGCUCUGAGCUGUCAGCAUAGAGCCCAAUGUGGGGCUUGAACCCACGAACCAUGAGAUCAUGACCUAAGCCCAUGACCUGAGCUGAAGUUGGGCCCUUAAGCCACUGAGCCACCCAGGUGCCCCUGGGACGUAAUUAGCUUUAGAUGAGUUCGUGAGGGUGGUGCUCCAUAAUGGGAUUGGUGCCUUUGUGAGAAGAGGAAGAAAGGUCACACUCUCCUCUCUCUCCACCAUGUGAGGACACAGCAAGAAAGCAAGCCACAGAGAGGGUCAUCACCGGAACCCAAACAUGCUGGCACUCUGAUCUCUGACUUCCAGCCUCCAGAACUAUAACAAAAUAAGCAUCUGUUGUUUAAACCA